AAAGAACCCUGAGAGGGAGUGAGGAGGUGGAUCCAAGAAGCAAACAAACUGGGUUCUAGAAAUGUCAGUGACAGUGAAAACUAACGAGAUUCGCUCUGGCGCAGGCUGCCACUCAUUUUUCUGGAAGGCUUGUUCCGUUGGAAAUAACCGCUUCUCCCACUCCUGAUGCUGAACAGAGCCUAGAGCAGCGCCAUCAAAUUAGUAGGGGAUCUGAACUCCUGCUCUAUGGUUCCAGAACAUCUUGAGGCAUCUUGUACACUUCUAAAUAAUUUUACUUCACUGUAUUGUGAUCUGAUCUAUAUUUCUCCUUUCUGCCCAACACUCUCCAUGAGUGUGGUGUCAUGAAUCAGGCAAGGAGAACUCCUCCAGCCCUUUGUGCUCCACUCAACUGGGAAUCCAGAGAUUUAACAGCAAAUCCAACUUUUGAUGCUGUGUUCCAGACUCCUGUUCAUUAGUGGCACAGUAAGGACUUGAUUUUUAUUCUUUUUAUGGGCUGAACUUUUAAUGACCUCUGUAAAUGUCUUAAAUGGUUUAUAGAAAUCUUGCCUCUAUAGGUGAAGGAUAGUAGAGAAUUUGGUUUAUUACUCUUUGUUUGAAACUCAAAGUCAAUUAAAAGUUUGUACCUAAUGAGAAAAAAUCCCCUUAUUUCCUACAUGGCAGAAAUAAAAAAUUGACCGAGAUUUAAAAAUUGAGGCUAUUAGCUCUGUUUGGGUCUUUCUGUAUUAAUAUGUUUAUGCAUUUGUAUGUAACAUUUUCUUUCCUUCAUGGUAUUACAGGAUUAUAAAAUCUCUUAAAAGAGUGCAACUUGGAGUGAUUUAGAGAUAAAUAAGACUUAUCUAAUUCUAAAAUUCCCAGAAAUUAAGGACAUUAGUAUUCUAAUAAUUUUAUUUAUAUAUAUAUAUAUGUUAAUGCAAAUGACUUCAGAGUUUGAGUUCACACUGUUGAGGUAAACCUUUAGCUCAGU
rnacentral:lncRNA from 1 species